rnacentral:misc_RNA from 1 species
UGUUGUUUCCACAAGUGACCAUGCUGAACCAGAAAAAAUCCAGCCACAGUUUGGCUUUUUGCAAGAAUCUUUUCACAAAUCCCUGUAUAUGACAAGGGUUUCCAUCCAUGCUCUCCUUGAUACUGAGAUAUCAUUCCAAUAACAAUGAGUCGUCCAUGAACUGCUAGUGCAUUUAAGCAUAGAUCAAACAUUUCUCCACCAACAGAUUCAUAGAUGAUAUCAA